GAUGAAGAACGCAGCGAAAUGCGAUACGUAAUGUGAAUUGCAGAAUUCAGUGAAUCAUCGAAUCUUUGAACGCAUAUUGCGCUCUCUGGUAUUCCGGAGAGCAUGCUUGUUUGAGUAUCAGUAAACACCUCAACUCCCUUUUCUUUUUUGAAAUUGGAGCUGGACUUGAGUGAUCCCAACGCUUUCUUCCAAGAAAGUGGCGGGUUGCUUGAAAUGCAGGUGCAGCUGAACUUUUCUCUGAGCUAUAAGCAUAUCUAUUUAGUCUGCCUAAAAAACAGAUUAUUACCUUUGCUGCAGCUAACAUAAAGGAGACUAGUUCUUGUGCUGACUGAUGCAGGAUUCACAGAGACAGCUUCGGCUGACUUUGUAAACUCGAUCUCGAAUCAAGUAAGACUACCCGCUGAACUUAAGCAUAUCAAUAAGCGGAGGA
rnacentral:misc_RNA from 1 species